GACGAACGCUGGCGGCGUGCCUAAUACAUGCAAGUCGAACGCAGUUGGGACGGGUUAGUAACACGUGGGUAACCUCCCAUCAGAGGGGAUAACACUUGGAAACAGGUGCUAAACCGAUAUUUAUGUAUGGACCCGCGGUGCAUUAGCUAGUUGGUGAGGUAACGGCUCACCAAGGCCACGAUGCAUAGCCGACCUGAAGGGGGGAUCGGCCAAACGGGGACGAGGACACGGCCCAGACUCCUACGGGAGGCAGCAGUAGGGAAUCUUCGGAAAGGGACGAAAGUCUGACCGAGCAACGCCGCGUGAGUGAAGAAGGUUUUCGGAUCGUAAAACUCUGUUGUAAGGGAAGCGGUAUCUAACCAGAAAGCCACGGCUAACUACGUGCCAGCCGCCGCGGUAAUUC
rnacentral:rRNA from 1 species